rnacentral:lncRNA from 1 species
AUAAGAAUAAGGAAUGAAUUUAUAGGUCUUAAGGUCCUUGAUGUUAUCAGUAAGCUCAGACAAGAUGCGGUCAACGAUUCGGAUCUGGCGGUGCAGCUGGACGUCUUCGAUGAGCAGAGGGACACGGACGAGGCCCAGAUCUCCGGACCCGACGGCGUGGACCUCAGCUCCCACGUGGACGUCUUCUACGCCAUCCUCAGACAG